rnacentral:rRNA from 1 species
AUUGAACGCUGGCGGCAGGCUUAACACAUGCAAGUCGAGCGGGGGAAGGUAGCUUGCUACCGGACCUAGCGGCGGACGGGUGAGUAAUGCUUAGGAAUCUGUCUAUUAGUGGGGGACAACAUCUCGAAAGGGAUGCUAAUACCGCAUACGUCCUACGGGAGAAAGCAGGGGAUCUUCGGACCUUGCGCUAAUAGAUGAGCCAAAGUUGGAUUAGCUAGUUGGUGGGGUAAAGGCCUACCAAGGCGACGAUCUGUAGCGGGUCUGAGAGGAUGAUCCGCCACACUGGGACUGGGACACGGCCCAGACUCCUACGGGAGGCAGCAGUGGGGAAUAUUGGACAAUGGGGGGAACCCUGAUCCAGCCAUGCCGCGUGUGUGAAGGAGGCCUUAUGGUUGUAAAGCACUUUAAGCGAGGAGGAGGCUACUCUAGUUAAUACCUAGGGAUAGUGGACGUUACUCGCAGAAUAAGCACCGGCUAACUCUGUGCCAGCCGCCGCCGUAA